rnacentral:tRNA from 1 species
GCCUGGGUGGCUCAAUCGGUUAAGCGUCUGACUUUGGCUCAGGUCACGACUCACCAUUCGUGAGUUCAAGCCCCAUGUCAGGCU